ensembl:lncRNA
GCACAAGCCGCGCCGGGGGGUAGAAGAUGAGGAGGCUGCGAGGGACCCCGAGUCAGACCUUCGGGGCCACAAGAAAGUGUCCGAGCGCCUCGCAGACUGCAGCAAGGGAAACGUCCCUUAAAAGUGCGACGAGGUGGGGACGAGGUGCAAUUAUUAUUAUCAGCAUCUAGAAAGCAUCAUGCAGGCAGUGACCUCCAUACUGCAUUGUUCUUACUGGAUCUUCCUAUCAAUGAACAUUAUGGAACUACCAAAACAGCAUCAAGUCCUUCUUGGAUGGAAAGUUUUCAAACUUCUUCAUUUGGAGUUACUUAAACAUUAGGAUGUUGGGAUUCUUGAUGAUGCCUUUCCUAUGUGGAUUACUACAAUUUGGUUACUGGGAAUUCUCUACCUCAAAGAAGAUUAUUUUGCUAUCUGGGAAUUCAUGCCCCUGACUUUGACUUCGGGUCAAAAUUGCUUUCCUCACAGUCUGAACUGGGAAAGUUGUAAAACAUUAGAAUGUCCUUCGGCGGUGGGCUGUGGAAUGUCAUGUAAGUUAUUACUAAUUUUUUUCAGAAUGUGAUGGAUUUUUCACGUGUAGAUUUGGUGGCGUAGAUAACCAAACUAGAUGGGUUUCUAAGAAUUCGCAUUGUAAUUUAUCAAGUUAUCCUUAGCAUUCAAUUGGGGAAGGAUUUGGCUGGAUGCAGGUGAAGAUGCGAAACAGUACCUUGUGUUAAUUGUGAUGGCCAAGCCAUCCUUAAAAAACUCACAGUUUUCCUGUGAUAUUUCCCCAAUUCCAUCCAUGGUCGGGUGUUAGUAAACACCUGAGUCACUCCAUGUGAAGCAUUAAGCAUAGCGUCUAGGACCCUGUAAGUGUACUUAUCAAUGUUAGCUAUCAUUAUUAUUAUUUUCAGUAUUUAUAAUAGAACUAUUUAUUUUUAUAUUUAAUUUUAUUUUGAUUUUAUAACAAAGACAUUUAUUUUUAUAUUCUCUGUGCUCUUAUAUGGUAACUCAUACAUCAUACAUGCAUUCAAGUACCCAUAACAUUUUUUUCUUUUCGUUUUCUUUUUUUUUUUUUUAAAGAUUUUUUUAUUUGAGACAGAGUAAGCGAGAAAUAGCAUGAGCUGAAGGGUGGAGGGGCAGAGGGAAAGGGGAGAAGCAGACUCCCCGCUGAUCAGGGAGCCUCACAUAAGGCUGGAUCCCAGGACCCCGGGAUCAUGAACUGAGCUGAAGGCAGAUGCUUAACUGACUGAGCCAUCCAGGUGCCCCCCCAAAAAUUUAUUUAAAAAAAAAAAUUUAUUUCUUGCCUGCUGUGUUUCAGGCACUGGUGUUAGAUUCCGCAGAUAACAGAGAUGACUAAGGCAAGGUCUCUGUCCCUCUAAAAACGACGGUUUACCUUUUAUAACAAUAUAUCAUGCUGUAAUAUAUUCGUUUACGUCUUCUAGAUUGUGAGUUUAUUUGAAGUCAAAAGCAUGGGAGCCAAAAAAUUUGUGUCAUCUUACCCUGAAAUAGUUUAGGAUUAGAAAGAAAUCCCAAAGCGCUUUGCAUUGGUAAAAUGACUUUAUUUGAAAAUUUUUUAUUAGCACUUAGCACAGUAUCUGACAUGUAGACAACUCUUAAUAAAUCCAGCUACUCUCAUCA